AGUUUUCCCCCAGGCUGUGGCCCCCGGCACCCAGCCCCGGGCUUGGUACACAGUGGGAACUUGAUACCUAUUUGUUCAAUGAAUAAUGAACACGGCAUAUGAAACCUAUUAGGUGAUUUUGGCCUUGGGUCUCAUUUGGGGAACUCACAUAAACUGCAUCCAACAGAGCGUCUGCUACCCACCUGGUCCUGGCUGGCAGAGAAGCUGUAGCACCGAAGCUUUUGGCAGGCGGUUUCAUCAAAAAUCUUGGCUGUUUCGAAUAUAUGUCCAGCCAGUCUGAAGACAAGCACUAAUACCUUCCCGCCUUUUGAAAAGCAAAACUCACUGGAAACACAAUGUCUCCGUGGUAAGAGCCAAAUACUCUGCUAGGCACAAAGCUCUGAGAAUCAAGGCAGCUUUUUAAGCUUUUCAAUGAGGAAACUAAGUGUAAACUGUGUAUACAGCAAAAAAAAAAAAAAAAAAAAAAAAAAAAANAAUGUCCUUUAAUGUUGACAGAAGUCACUUUCUGGAGCUUGUUCCUAUUGUAUUUCCCUGUCUUCAUCCUGCUAACUCUCCGAUGCCUUUUUUUUCCUUCAAAAAGAUAACAUUCCCAGUACAGUGGUGUACAGUUAGGAAAAGUUUAUUUUGCGCGCUUCCAGCAUCAGCAUCAAAGUCAAUGGCAUUUUCUACCAAGGAACAUCAGCUCUGAAUUAUCUUUGUCUAGAUUAUAUAGUGUUUGUUUUUUCCAGAUUUUCUUCUCCAAAACUCAGCCUGUCACAAAACAUCUUCAGCUUCCAUUGGCUGCUGUAGCCUAGUUAAUUUUUUUUUUCUCCAAGAGAAGGAAAAUUGACUCGGAGAUUAGCUUAACUAAAACACGGGAUAGGUUGCUCUAAAGAAAAGUGAAUUUCACUGGGUCACAAGAAAAAGAGAGGAAUAACUUUGGAGGCUCUAUUACUAUUAUAUUAUUGAUACUAUUGAUANUCUAUUACUAUUAUAUUAUUGAUACUAUUGAUAUUAUUAUUAUUAUUACAACUACCAUCACGAUUACUCCUAUUCGUAUUUGGCUCUGUGACCCUUUAAGACAGAUCUCACCUUUUCUCUUUCUGUAACAUCCAGCUGAGCCAAGCAUCGUUUUGGAACUCUUUUUUGAGUUAAUUCAGAAGCCAUAAUUUUCUCCGAAUGCUGAGAAAUGAUUUGGAAUAAGGCCAUUUCACAGCACUGCAAGGUUGGAAGAGCUCCUUCCAGUUUACCUCAUUCAACCACCAUCAGUUUUUCUGGUCUCCUAACGUUGCUGCCGAGAGGGUGGUCUGGCCCCUGAUGGAACGCUUUGGGAUGGUCUGGUCUCUGAAACACUAGGAGGGCCUCGCUUUGAUCAUCGUUCACCUCAUUCCUGAAGCCACUGUAAUUGCUCUGUGGUUGGGUGGCCGAGCACUCCAAGGGGGUGUAGGUAAGACUUGGGACAGGCCAGCCAAAUCCACCUGCACACAUUCAAUUCGCUGUGGCUGGCAGGAGUCCAGCCUAGAUACCAUUCAUACGAACAGGGGUCUUUUUGAAUUCGAGUCUUAUCUCCAGGAGCCAGUGAGAACAUCCAUUGUUCUCCUGCUGCAAGUUAACAGCUCUGCAUACUUUAGAAGCAAUGAGCCUAAACAAAAAGGAAUUUUCUUCCAGUGGUUUGUGUUGGAGCCAGUAGGAGCUAUGGAGUGCAUGCCGGGUGCAGAAGGAUUGAACGGAUUUUAGAAAAAUCUGUGGCUUAUUACUUAUUGUGUUACCCUGAGCCCCUCAACCAUGCCAGUACUAACCUUUAGCUAGUGCUAACGGUUAGGCAAGGUAGGAUUUCUUUGCUUAACCAACAGCUCAAGCUUAAUAACUGCCAUGACAAAUAACUUUGCUCUAGUCUACUAAUUACUAAAAGGAAUGGCUAGCUGUCUCCUAUUUUCUUUUAAUCGCUCUGUUUCUCAUGUAAUUAACCUAUUAAACAGCUACGUUUACCUCUAACAGGAUGCGGUCAUUUGAGGAAUCAUGUCUUGAGGUGAAACAAAUCCUCCUUCAUUUCUUGCUGUGUUACAGCUCACUGGUCAGAAUUACAAAGAGGGGCAUUUACAAGUAAGAACACUGGAGUCCCUGUUGUGGCUCAGUGGGUUAAGAACCCAACCUAGUAUCCGUGAGGAUGCAGGUUCAAGCCCUGGCCCCGCUCCGUGGGUUAAGGAUCUGGUGGUGCCAUGAGCUGUGGUGUAGGUCUGAAGCUGUAGCUCUGACUCCACUCCCAGCUCCAGAACUUCCACAUGCCACAGGUGUGGCCCUAAAAAGAAAAAAAAAAGGGGGGGGGGACUAAGAACACUGAUGACUGAUCAGCCACUGAAGCCGUCUUUGGGAAGACGGAAGUCUGGGAACUCCUAGCUACUCAGGGCAGAGUUUAAGUCUGGUGGUCUCUGAGCAGGACCACAGAAUCACAGGCUUUGCCGAAAGUUCGAUGCCGGGUGUGAACAGCAGCCUCAUGACUCAUUCAAGGGUGAGCUGGAAUGGGGUGAUCCAGGCAGAAGACUUUUCAAGAGAAGCAAAACUGUAGCCAAAUGACUAGCAGGGCCCAGGAGUGCUGGGGAAACCCAGCUGUCUGUUAGACUUCCCUUCCCCUGCCCCACCACCCUGAAAAAAAAAGGGCUUGUUUGUUCAAAAGGCUCCAGGCAGUGAGUUUACAUACAGGAUUGGACACAUCUGGAAGAUGCAAUUACUGGGCCUGCAAUUAGUAAGCUUGGUAUCCACACACAUGGAGAAGGUGCAUCUCCUGUUCUUACACCUCUGGGAGAGUCUGGCCUUUAAACCUUAGGUCUUCUUUUGUCAUUUAGGAAAACUGGUAGCCAUUCAAUUGUUCAUUGGAAGUGAAUUCUCCUUGCGGGGAUGGAAUGUGGCUACCCGGGAGAUGAUUUCACUUGAUCAGACCCAGAAGUCGCCAAGCCUCCCAAAGACGAUUUCUUUAGACACAGAAUGUUCUAUGAGUCUGUGCUUUGACUGCAGAGCCCUAUCAGGUGAAUAAUUAUACUGUAACUGUGUUUCAGACAAUGUUACUUACGAGCGAAGCAAUUUCUGUUUUGAAAUGUUACCUUAUGGGUGAAAGUCCACUGAUCAUCCUUCUGGAAGAUUAAAAGAAAACAGAACUCAGAAGUUUUUAUAUGUGUGUGUGUGUAUAAAUUCCACCAUUUAAUCUACGUAGAAAUGAAUGUAAUUAUAUAAUUAUGGAUAUGCAAUUAUAGAAAUUUACAUACAUUUCAGAAAGUCUCCGUCUAGAUAAAUUUAGAUAAAUCUCAAUCUAGAUAUGCUUAUUAUUUGACUGCCUGGACUUGAAGGGGGAAACUUUUAUGAAAAAAAAAAAAAAAAAAAAAAAAAAA
rnacentral:lncRNA from 1 species